UCGGAUGUGGUGUACAGUGCACGUCAGCUCUUUAUGGAAAUGUCCUGCUGUAAUGCAAGCUGAAAGCCGUGGUUCGACUCCCUGCAUCCGAG